rnacentral:rRNA from 1 species
AUUCCUGGUGUAGCGGUGGAAUGCGCAGAUAUCAGGAGGAACACCGAUGGCGAAGGCAGUUCUCUGGGCCGUUACUGACGCUGAGGAGCGAAAGCGUGGGGAGCGAACAGGAUUAGAUACCCUGGUAGUCCACGCCGUAAACGUUGGGAACUAGAUGUGGGGACCUUUCCACGGUCUCCGUGUCGCAGCUAACGCAUUAAGUUCCCCGCCUGGGGAGUACGGCCGCAGGGCUAAAACUCAAAGGAAUUGACGGGGGCCCGCCCAAGCGGCGGAGCAUGCGGAUUAAUUCGAUGCAACGCGAAGAACCUUACCAAGGCUUGACAUAUACCGGAAACUUCCCGAGAUGGUUGCCCCGCAAGGUCGGUAUACAGGUGGUGCAUGGUUGUCGCCAGCUCGUGUCGUGAGAUGUUGGGUUAAGUCCCGCAACGAGCGCACCCCUCGUUCUAUGUU